UCAUUAGGUUGUUUGGGAUUCUGAGCA
rnacentral:piRNA from 1 species